AUUGAACGCUGGCGGCAUGCCUUACACAUGCAAGUCGAACGGUAACAGGUCUUCGGAUGCUGACGAGUGGCGAACGGGUGAGUAAUACAUCGGAACGUGCCCAGUAAUGGGGGAUAGCUCGGCGAAAGCCGGAUUAAUACCGCAUACGCCCUGAGGGGGAAAGUGGGGGACCGCAAGGCCUCACGUUAUUGGAGCGGCCGAUGGGUGAUUAGCUAGUUGGUAGGGUAAAGGCCUACCAAGGCGACGAUCAGAAGGUGGUCUGAGAGGACGAUCCGCCCCACUGGGACUGAGAAACGGCCCAGACUCCUACGGGAGGGAGCAGUGGGGAAUUUUGGACAAAGGGGGAAACACUGAUCCAGCAAUACCGCGUGUGCGAAGAAGGCCUUCGGGUUGUAAAGCACUUUUGUCAGGGAAGAAAUCCCUUGGGCUAAUACCCUAGGGGGAUGACGGUACCUGAAGAAUAAGCACCGGCUAACUACGUGCCAGCCGCCGCCGUAAAAC
rnacentral:rRNA from 1 species